rnacentral:misc_RNA from 1 species
GAUGAAGAACGCAGCGAAAUGCGAUACGUAAUGUGAAUUGCAGAAUUCAGUGAAUCAUCGAGUCUUUGGACGCACAUUGCGCCCCCUGGUAUUCCGGGGGGCAUGCCUGUCCGAGCGUCAUUGCUGCCCUCAAGCACGGCUUGUGUGUUGGGCCUCCGUCCUCCUCCCGGGGGACGGGCCCGAAAGGCAGCGGCGGCACCGCGUCCGGUCCUCGAGCGUAUGGGGCUUCGUCACCCGCUCUUGUAGGCCCGGUCGGCGCUUGCCGACACAUCAAUCUUUUUUCCAGGUUGACCUCGGAUCAGGUAGGGAUACCCGCUGAACUUAAGCAUAUCAAUAAGCGGAGGA